rnacentral:rRNA from 1 species
UACGGGGGGGGCAAGCGUUGUUCGGAAUUACUGGGCGUAAAGGGCUCGUAGGUGGCCAACUAAGUCAGACGUGAAAUCUCUCGGCUUAACCGGGGAACUGCGUCUGAUACUGGAUGGCUUGAGUUUGGGAGAGGGACGCGGAAUUCCAGGUGUAGCGGUGAAAUGCGUAGAUAUCUGGAGGAACACCGGUGGCGAAGGCGGCGUCCUGGACCAACACUGACACUGAGGAGCGAAAGCCAGGGGAGCAAACGGG